rnacentral:lncRNA from 1 species
UCUUGCUAUAUAUAUGGCCCAGGCUGGUCUUGACCCAGCAUCAAGUCGUCCUCCUGCCUUGCGCUCCCAAAGCACUGGGAUUACAGGUGUGAGCCACCAUGCCCAGCCAGAUCUUUCUUGUUUUUGAUGUAGGUGUUUAUUACUAAAUACUUCCCUCUUAAAACUGCUCUUGCUGCAUCCCAUACAUUUUUAUAUGUUGUGUUUCUGUUUUCACUCAUUUUAAGACAUUUAAAUUUUGUUUCUUAAUUUCUUCAUUACCCAUUGGUCAUUCAGAAUCAUGUUAUUUAAUUUCCAUUUAUUUGUGCUGCUUUAAAAGUUCCUCUUGUUAUUGAUUUCUAGGUUUAUUUCAUUGUGGUCAGAAAGGUACUUGAUGUGAUUUUAAUUCUUUUAAUUUUUGUGAUUUGUUUUGUGGUUUAACAUGUGGCCUCUCCUUGAAAAUAUUGCAUGUGCUUAUGAAAAAAAAUAUGUAUUCUGUAGCUGUUGGAUGAAAAGAUCUGUUAGUGUCUUUUAAGUCCAUUUGGUCUAAAGUCAGUUUAAACUUGGUGUUUCUUUGUUGAUUUUCUAUGUAUAUGAUCUGUCCAUUGCUGAAAGUAGGGUGUUGAAGUCCACAAGUAUUAUUGUAUUAUUGUAUUGUCUUCCCCUUUAGAUCUAAUAAUAUUUGCCUUACAUAUCUGGGUGCUCUGAUAUUGGGUGCAUAUAUAUUUACAAUUUUUGUAUCCUCUUCCUGAUUUCAUCCCUACUGUGUUUGAUACAAAGUCUCUUAUCAAAUUUGGAUAUAUCAUCCCAUUUUUUCCUGGCCUGUGAGGUUUCUGCUGUUAUUCUAAUGAAGAUUCCCUUAUAUAUGACUUGAUGCUUUUCUACUGGUACUUUUGGAUUUUUCUCUUUGUCUUUGACUUUUGUCAGUUCAAAUAUAAUGUGCCUUGGAGGUGACCUUUUUGGGGAUCUUUGAGCUUCCUGGAUCUGAAUGUCCAUAUCUCUCGCAAGACUUGGGAGGUUUUUAGCUAUUAUUUCAUUGUCUUUUUCGUUUUCUUUUAUUUUUAAUCUUGCUGUGAUCUCCUUAGCAGCUAUAAUUUCAUUAAAUAUGUUUUAUUUUUUUAAUUUUUUUUUUUUUGAGACAGAGUCUCGCACUGUCGCCCGGGCUGGAGUGCAAUGACGCAGUCUUGGCUUACUGCACCCUCCGCCUCCUGGGUUCAUGCGAUUCUCUGGCCUCAGCCUCCCAAAUAGCUGGGAUUACAGGUGCACACCACCACACCCAGCUAAUUUUUCGUACUUUUAGUAGAGACGGGGUUUCGCCAUGUUGGCCAGACUGGUCUUGAACUCCUAACCUCAUGAUCCACCUGCCUUGGCCUCCCAAAGUGCUGGGAUUACAGGCGUGAGCCACCACGCCUGGCCUGUUUUAUUUAAAAAGUUGUAUUAAAUAUAUAUUUUUUUCUUUUUUUCUUUUUUUUUUGAGACGGCAUUUUCACCCUUCUUGCCCAGGCUGGAGUGCAACGGUGCAAUCUUGGUUCACUGCAACCUCUGCCUCUCAGGUUCAAGUGAUU